rnacentral:rRNA from 1 species
GAUGAACGCUGGCGGCGUGCCUAAUACAUGCAAGUCGAGCGAACAGACGAGGAGCUUGCUCCUCUGACGUUAGCGGCGGACGGGUGAGUAACACGUGGAUAACCUACCUAUAAGACUGGGAUAACUUCGGGAAACCGGAGCUAAUACCGGAUAAUAUAUUGAACCGCAUGGUUCAAUAGUGAGAGACGGUUUUGCUGUCACUUAUAGAUGGAUCCGCGCCGCAUUAGCUAGUUGGUAAGGUAACGGCUUACCAAGGCAACGAUGCGUAGCCGACCUGAGAGGGUGAUCGGCCACACUGGAACUGAGACACGGUCCAGACUCCUACGGGAGGCAGCAGUAGGGAAUCUUCCGCAAUGGGCGAAAGCUUGACGGAGCAACGCCGCGUGAGUGAUGAAGGUCUUCGGAUCGUAAAACUCUGUUAUUAGGGAAGAACAAAUGUGUAAGUAACUAUGCACGUCUUGACGGUACCUAAUCAGAAAGCCACGGCUAACUACGUG